CCUAAACAAAAAAAUGAUCAAUAUAUUAAACUAUUAAAUUGAAAUGCUUUAAGUUAAUUACUUUUGUAGUAAUGUUUGGUCACCUAUAUCUAUAGAAUGAUUUUUAUAUGGUUGAGAUUCAACAGGUCAACCAUCUUUGCUUAUGUUUUCAUGAGCCGUUCAGAUCAGCUGAAAUCGGAAGGUAUGAAGGGAUGGACUGCGUUGGCUGCACCGCAAGAACAUUGGCCAACUAUCGCAUAAACUAGUCCGUCAAAGUCCGGCACGACCUUAUGGGCCAUUCAUACAACGGAGAAUGGAAGGUGGAUGGUUCUCUGUGGAAAUAGGCUAUAAAACAAUAAAAUCUUCCAAUCCACUGACUCGAUUUUAACAAAACAUAUAAAAAAUGAUCAUGAUGAGAAGUACAAUUAAGGGAUGUAGUUGUUAAAUUUAAAGACUUCCUUUUUAAGCUUGUCCCUUUUUUAUAUUUAGCAUCAAAGCGUUGCCAGUUGUCAUAAUUGGAGGUGUUGGAGGUCGUAACAUGCUCUUAUCCAUAUAUAGACACUAUUAAGUUAUUUGGGAGGAAUUCUUUAUAACCUGCUCGAGGCAUAUUUGUAAUUUAUUUGAUUUUUGAGACAUCCAUCGGUUUGAUUGACCUCAACAUCUUAGAAAGACGUAGUAAUUAAUUAAAAUUAGCGUUAAAAUUACUUUAUUCAUAAAAACAAUUUAUUUCUGAGACAUCUAUUGGAUUGAUGGACUUGUAAUUAAUGUAUAAAUAGUUCAAAAAUUUGCCCCUUUGAGAAUGCGUGCAUGUUGGCAAACCUACUAUGAAAGACGUAUUAAUAAAAAUAGAAGUUAUCGUCGAAAAUUGUGCGUUAAUUUGUCGGAUGUUGAAGUUCUCAGCAGGCGUGGCCAGUGUUUCCACGUG